rnacentral:rRNA from 1 species
ACUCCUGCGGGAGGCAGCAGUGGGGAAUUUUGGACAAUGGGCGAAAGCCUGAUCCAGCAAUGCCGCGUGUGUGAAGAAGGCCUUCGGGUUGUAAAGCACUUUUGUCCGGAAAGAAAUCCUUGGCUCUAAUACAGUCGGGGGAUGACGGUACCGGAAGAAUAAGCACCGGCUAACUACGUGCCAGCAGCCGCGGUAAUACGUAGGGUGCGAGCGUUAAUCGGAAUUACUGGGCGUAAAGCGUGCGCAGGCGGUUUGCUAAGACCGAUGUGAAAUCCCUGGGCUCAACCUGGGAACUGCAUUGGUGACUGGCAGGCUAGAGUAUGGCAGAGGGGGGUAGAAUUCCACGUGUAGCAGUGAAAUGCGUAGAGAUGUGGAGGAAUACCGAUGGCGAAGGCAGCCCCCUGGGCCAAUACUGACGCUCAUGCACGAAAGCGUGGGGAGCAAACAGGAUUAGAAACCCUAGUAGCCCCAUGA